rnacentral:lncRNA from 1 species
AAUUCUGCAUCAGGUUUGAGCACUAAUGUAUGUGAAGCCUCAAUACAUGCUUGGGGCUCAAGAGAACCAGGGUCAGUACAUCUGCCUUUAAGUUCACCUUGCAGUAGGGCUGGAAUUUGCAUAAUCAAAAGUUGACUAUUUUAAAAAAAUAGUCUGAAUAGAUCUCAAGGAAGAGAAAUGGAAAGUUUUAGUUCUCUGAUAUUUGAAACUGAAAAACCUAAAUCACUGUAGGAAACUGUACUGCUUCUGAGAAAUACCUCCACAGGUUAAAAAAGAUUUCAGACAGUUGCUGGGAUUGUGUUCCAAUUCCAGUCCUGCACCCGUUGCUAUGGUAAUGUCUAUAUCACACACAAUAGGUAGAAUCAGGGCAAAUCAUCUUUCAUAGUCUUUUUGAAACUCAAUUGUAAAAUGAUGUUCAUGCCUGUCUGACAGGCUUAUUGUCACCAAUGGGAUGAUGGUGAUGGCAGUAGGCAUGAGGAUAAUUGAAGAACAGAUGCAAAUGUAUACAAUGCUGCAUCUAUCCCAUUCUUGCUGAAGUGAAACUGGGAUUUUCACUUUCUCCCAGCUAUUUCAGAAACUGUAUGUUCCUUACCCAACUGUUCUAAUAAUUUUCUGUCAGUGAAAAGACACUCUAUUUCAGUUACAGUCAAAGUAAGUAAUGAGAUGUUCCAAGGAUCUCCAUGAUUUAAUAUACUCGUUCUAUCAAUGCAUAAGAUAUUAUUUCAGAUAGCAGAUUUUUCCUCCUAUAUUGCUUUUUAGACCUUUGCUUUUCUUAUUUCAGAUAGCAGAUUUUUUCCUCCUAUAUUGCUUUUUAGACCUUUGCUUUUCUUGUUGUCUUUUCCCUGAAAUUGCUAUUUUCCGUUAUCAGAUACUCUUUUCUUCCUUCUUCAUUGUCUUAGCUUAACCUGUUUAACUGGGUUCUUAUGGAUUUAUACAGUGUAUUUUGACUUUGUCAGAAGACUUGAUUAUUGAUGUUGACUUGUCAGAGAACUCAACGUAUCCAAAAUAAGUGUUAGGUAGGGAGGCUCUCCAAGUACUUGGGAGGCUGAGCUGAGAAUCCAAGAUAACAUUAGAUUGGGUUGCAGUGUUAACUAGAGCUAGUACUUUAUUCUUCCCCAUCUAGUACUGUUGUCCGAAGAGAAAAGGUUACUACAUAUUGACGAGUUAAGUAAUAUUUGAGGAGUAUUGUAAAACACAACUAUAAUGAUGAAUUUAUUCAAAGCAAAACACCUGUACCUGAACCUUUCUUGAGUUAAGUACUUACUAGCAUUUGUACUACAACCUCAGGUACCCUUAUAGAGUUCAUGUGUUCACUUUAGUGUUUGAAAAGACGUAAAGAAUUUUCUUAAUCUUUUAACAUUUUAAAGGUUUCCCUUAAAAUUUUUAAAGUAACCUUUUAAAAAUGUAUUCCUGGGCUGGGGAUAUGACUCAAGCGGUAGCGCGCUCGCCUGGCAUGCGUGCGGCCUGGGUUCGAUCCUCAGCACCACAUACA